rnacentral:rRNA from 2 species
UACGUAGGGGGCAAGCGUUGUCCGGAUUUAUUGGGCGUAAAGAGCGUGUAGGCGGUUGGGUAGGUCCGUUGUGAAAACUCGAGGCUCAACCUCGAGACGCCGAUGGAAACCCCCCAGCUAGAGUCCGGAAGAGGAGAGUGGAAUUCCUGGUGUAGCGGUGAAAUGCGCAGAUAUCAGGAAGAACACCCGUGGCUAAGGCGGCUCUCUAGUACGGUACUGACGCUGAGACGCGAAAGCGUGGGGAGCGAACAGG